rnacentral:misc_RNA from 1 species
GAUGAAGAACGCAGCGAAAUGCGAUAAGUAAUGUGAAUUGCAGAAUUCAGUGAAUCAUCGAAUCUUUGAACGCACCUUGCGCUCCUUGGUAUUCCGAGGAGCAUGCCUGUUUGAGUGUCAGUAAAUUCUCAAACCCUUCCAGCUUUUUGUAGUUGGCUCUGGGUCUUGGAUGUGGAGGUGUUGCAGGCCUUUUUGAGGUCAGCUCCCCUGAAAUGCAUUAGCAGAACCGUUUGCAAUCCAUCACAGGUGUGAUAAUUAUCUACGCCAGUGGGUUGCUCUCUGUCACUGUUCAGCUUACAAUUGUCCCAUUCUUGUGGACCAACUAUUGCUGAUUCUUUGACCUCAAAUCAGGUAGGACUACCCGCUGAACUUAAGCAUAUCAAUAAGCGGAGGA